UACCCAGCUAUUAAAAAGAAUGAA
rnacentral:piRNA from 1 species